rnacentral:tRNA from 2 species
GGAGAGGUGCCAGAGUGGUAAUGGAGCAGAUUGCUAAUCUGUCGGCCUUAAUUGGCCGCCAGGGUUCGAGUCCCUGUCUCUCCG